UACGGAGGGUGCAAGCGUUAUCCGGAUUCACUGGGUUUAAAGGGUGCGUAGGUGGGCAGUUAAGUCAGUGGUGAAAUCUCCGGGCUCAACCCGGAAACUGCCAUUGAUACUAUCUGUCUUGAAUAUCGUUGAGGUAAGCGGAAUAUGUCAUGUAGCGGUGAAAUGCUUAGAUAUCGGAAGGAACAUCAGUGGCGAAAGCGGCUUCCUGGACCAGCACCGACGUCAGGCACGAAAGCGUGGGGAGCAAACAGG
rnacentral:rRNA from 1 species